GGUUAAGCGACUAAGCGUACACGGUGGAUGCCCUGGCAGUCAGAGGCGAUGAAGGACGUGCUAAUCUGCGAUAAGCGUCGGUAAGGUGAUAUGAACCGUUAUAACCGGCGAUUUCCGAAUGGGGAAACCCAGUGUGUUUCGACACACUAUCAUUAACUGAAUCCAUAGGUUAAUGAGGCGAACCGGGGGAACUGAAACAUCUAAGUACCCCGAGGAAAAGAAAUCAACCGAGAUUCCCCCAGUAGCGGCGAGCGAACGGGGAGCAGCCCAGAGCCUGAAUCAGUGUGUGUGUUAGUGGAAGCGUCUGGAAAGGCGCGCGAUACAGGGUGACAGCCCCGUACACAAAAAUGCACAUGCUGUGAGCUCGAUGAGUAGGGCGGGACACGUGGUAUCCUGUCUGAAUAUGGGGGGACCAUCCUCCAAGGCUAAAUACUCCUGACUGACCGAUAGUGAACCAGUACCGUGAGGGAAAGGCGAAAAGAACCCCGGCGAGGGGAGUGAAAAAGAACCUGAAACCGUGUACGUACAAGCAGUGGGAGCACGCUUAGGCGUGUGACUGCGUACCUUUUGUAUAAUGGGUCAGCGACUUAUAUUCUGUAGCAAGGUUAACCGAAUAGGGGAGCCGAAGGGAAACCGAGUCUUAACUGGGCGUUAAGUUGCAGGGUAUAGACCCGAAACCCGGUGAUCUAGCCAUGGGCAGGUUGAAGGUUGGGUAACACUAACUGGAGGACCGAACCGACUAAUGUUGAAAAAUUAGCGGAUGACUUGUGGCUGGGGGUGAAAGGCCAAUCAAACCGGGAGAUAGCUGGUUCUCCCCGAAAGCUAUUUAGGUAGCGCCUCGUGAAUUCAUCUCCGGGGGUAGAGCACUGUUUCGGCAAGGGGGUCAUCCCGACUUACCAACCCGAUGCAAACUGCGAAUACCGGAGAAUGUUAUCACGGGAGACACACGGCGGGUGCUAACGUCCGUCGUGAAGAGGGAAACAACCCAGACCGCCAGCUAAGGUCCCAAAGUCAUGGUUAAGUGGGAAACGAUGUGGGAAGGCCCAGACAGCCAGGAUGUUGGCUUAGAAGCAGCCAUCAUUUAAAGAAAGCGUAAUAGCUCACUGGUCGAGUCGGCCUGCGCGGAAGAUGUAACGGGGCUAAACCAUGCACCGAAGCUGCGGCAGCGACACUAUGUGUUGUUGGGUAGGGGAGCGUUCUGUAAGCCUG
rnacentral:rRNA from 1 species